rnacentral:siRNA from 1 species
GGUGGCGUCCGCGGCGGAGGU